rnacentral:rRNA from 1 species
GACGAACGCUGGCGGCGUGCUUAACACAUGCAAGUCGAACGGAAAGGCCCUGCUUUUGUGGGGUGCUCGAGUGGCGAACGGGUGAGUAACACGUGAGUAACCUGCCCUUGACUUUGGGAUAACUUCAGGAAACUGGGGCUAAUACCGGAUAGGAGCUCCUGCUGCAUGGUGGGGGUUGGAAAGUUUCGGCGGUUGGGGAUGGACUCGCGGCUUAUCAGCUUGUUGGUGGGGUAGUGGCUUACCAAGGCUUUGACGGGUAGCCGGCCUGAGAGGGUGACCGGCCACAUUGGGGCUGAGAUACGGCCCAGACUCCUACGGGAGGCAGCAGUGGGGAAUGUUGCACAAUGGGCGGAAGCCUGAUGCCGCAACGCCGCGUGCGGGAUGACGGCCUUCGGGUUGUAAACCGCUUUCGCCUGUGACGAAGCGUGAGUGACGGUAAUGGGUAAAGAAGCACCGGCUAACUACGUG